ACAGGCCACUGAAAAAGAACGAUCACCCCUUCCCCUCCCCCACUCCAUACAUUACCAUGUAAUAUAACAUAAAACAUACACAAACUGCUCCUUACUGCACCAAAUGUGCCCCCUUGGUUACUGGUCAUGUGAUAUCAUGUCAAGCCUUGAACUCGUGAGCUGUCUUUAAUAUAAUGAAUCAUUUUUCUAGCACUGUUUAAGGACACUGGUACGUGAUGUGACUCCAUGAAGGCGAAUGACCUUUGUGCCUUUAGUACUACCAUAGUGAAUCUACUCAAGAUAAUAAAGCUAGUUUUGUCAAUUAGCUGAUACGAGAUCGGAUUGCUAUAGCUACAGUCACACGAGCUUGUUUCCUCGUUCGCCGUGCGUCCGAAAUGUAAUCCGUUUAAAUUAUACACGUAACGGUCAGCAUGUAUUUCUAAGGGUAGAUAAAACAAAAAUAUCGUAUACAUCAUUAAUACGUUUCAACUGAGAAUAUAUAAACGAAGUGAAUAAUAUUCUUCUCAAAAAACAGUCAUCUCAAAAUGAUUAAAGAUUAUCAAGAUGAAACCGUGACCUGCUUCAGUAAUCCUCCCUUUUUUUUUUUUUAAACAAUAAUGUUCUCUACUGCAGUCUGCUCGGUGUGUUUUGUUCUGGGUACAUUGAGCACAUUUGGUCCGUCUGCUCUCAUUCUGUUAGCCUUUAGCCUAGUCAUGAGCUCACAGAUUAGAUUAGAUGAACAGAGCUGAAGGGAAAAAAAAACAAACCAAGGUCCUCCUUUGUUCCCCCGACACACAGAAAAUACACUAACCCUCUCUACUGAGGAAACAUUCAAUAUGAGAAGGAAAAAAAAUCUCUUACCCAGCAUCUCUUGUUUCAGUUUCUCAUUUCGUUCCUCGAUCUGUUGUGGUAAUCUCUGCAGGAGAGGAUUAAAAUAUACAUCAAAUAACAUGAUCCAGUAAACCUAACAGUGGAAAUGUAAUGCAGCACUAAAUAUAACAUAAAUUGUUAGCUUCAUUUUCCGAAUCUAAUUUCUGUCGCAUUUUUCUCUUUUAAUGUACAAAGGAACUGGAAUGAUGCAGGACACGACGCUAAACAGUGCACAAAGUUAUAACUGAAGGGAGCAGUAUCUACUCAUAUGGAGUAUCGGACUGAUACUGUACAUCAUCUCCUUUUCUCCAGCAUUUCUGGAUGUCAGAAUAUCUGCUGGACGUCAGCUGAAAACUAAAUCCCGACGCAGCCUCUUGUCAAGAUAUCGUGAUUUCUCUGGACGACUCUCGGAUCGCGCCAUCUGGCAUUGCAAGCCUGGGGUAGUUCUGGACAAGCGACUGUCAAACAUUGUGAAAAAUAAUAAUAUUAAAAGGAAACAUUACACCGUGCCCUUUUUAUUUCCUCAGAACAUGAUCUCGCAUACAUGGUGUAAUGCGUAGCAUGGAUUAUCAUGUCCCUACUACUUACUUUCAUUUUUUCCUUGUGCAUGAUGCACAAUGUUUCUGUUUUCAGAUGAUAGUUUUUAGUACACAUGUAUUCUGUCCAUACUACAUACUAACCAGAAUCAACAUGCAGGUCUGUCCUGUACAAUAUCAGCAGGACACUUCUUCAGUAUAUUAUUAUUUUGAGGCUGCAGCUUGCCCUUGGCAGAUCUGCCUCAUGCACUAACUGACUGGUUUCGACUGAUUCAGACUGCAGUGACUAGUUUUCAGUCUUCCCACGCUGGCACAUUUCUGCGUUCCCUCCACCGCCGACAUCAGAUUCAAAUCCCUGAAGCUCGCCUACAAAGCCGAAAGCGGAUCAGCGGCUGCCUACCUGAAGGCACUCGUCACACCUCGCUCUGCACCACGCUUCUGUCAAGCCUCUAGUGCAGCUCAACUGAACCCGCCGUUCCUCAAGCCAUCAUGCCCCCGGAUAAAAAUAUGACAUGUCGCUUUUUAAUAAAUGGAAAAUAGUU